GAAAGCCAUGUGCAAUGAAAAAUGCAAGCAUGGUUUUGGGAGGGAUUUUUGUUACGUAUUUUAACAAAGAAAUUAUCUAUUCCAU
rfam:Eucalyptus grandis cultivar BRASTZ1 unplaced genomic scaffold scaffold_4, whole genome shotgun sequence.